GAGGUUUAACCUGUGGGAUCCAUGCUGAGAGUCCAGUCUAAAACAAGGUUUAACCUGUGGGAUCCAUGCUGAGAGUCCAGUCUAAAACGAGGUUUAACCUGUGGGAUCCAUGCUGAGAGUCCAGUCUAAAACGAGGUUUAACCUGUGGGAUCCAUGCUGAGAGUCCAGUCUAAAACGAGGUUUAACCUGUGGGGACCAUGCUGAGAGUCCCGUGAUGUUCCAGAAGCCGUGUGGACCUUUGACCCCCAGGUUAAGUAGAGCCCCCUUCCACCAGUCUCUUCUCCAGCUCUGCCCUGAACAUUAAGCUCUUGCUUGGCCUUCCUUGGGGUGCGACCUGGGGUGGUAAGCGGACGAGGGCUCGCCUCCCCCACCGGCUCCUU
rnacentral:lncRNA from 1 species